rnacentral:rRNA from 1 species
UUUUCGGAGAGUUUGAUCCUGGCUCAGGACGAACGCUGGCGGCGUGCCUAAUACAUGCAAGUCGAGCGGACAGAAGGGAGCUUGCUCCCGGAUGUUAGCGGCGGACGGGUGAGUAACACGUGGGUAACCUGCCUGUAAGACUGGGAUAACUCCGGGAAACCGGAGCUAAUACCGGAUAGUUCCUUGAACCGCAUGGUUCAAGGAUGAAAGACGGUUUCGGCUGUCACUUACAGAUGGACCCGCGGCGCAUUAGCUAGUUGGUGGGGUAAUGGCUCACCAAGGCGACGAUGCGUAGCCGACCUGAGAGGGUGAUCGGCCACACUGGGACUGAGACACGGCCCAGACUCCUACGGGAGGCAGCAGUAGGGAAUCUUCCGCAAUGGACGAAAGUCUGACGGAGCAACGCCGCGUGAGUGAUGAAGGUUUUCGGAUCGUAAAGCUCUGUUGUUAGGGAAGAACAAGUGCGAGAGUAACUGCUCGCACCUUGACGGUACCUAACCAGAAAGCCACGGCUAACUACGUGCCAGCAGCCGCGGUAAUACGUAGGUGGCAAGCGUUGUCCGGAAUUAUUGGGCGUAAAGGGCUCGCAGGCGGUUUCUUAAGUCUGAUGUGAAAGCCCCCGGCUCAACCGGGGAGGGUCAUUGGAAACUGGGAAACUUGAGUGCAGAAGAGGAGAGUGGAAUUCCACGUGUAGCGGUGAAAUGCGUAGAGAUGUGGAGGAACACCAGUGGCGAAGGCGACUCUCUGGUCUGUAACUGACGCUGAGGAGCGAAAGCGUGGGGAGCGAACAGGAUUAGAUACCCUGGUAGUCCACGCCGUAAACGAUGAGUGCUAAGUGUUAGGGGGUUUCCGCCCCUUAGUGCUGCAGCUAACGCAUUAAGCACUCCGCCUGGGGAGUACGGUCGCAAGACUGAAACUCAAAGGAAUUGACGGGGGCCCGCACAAGCGGUGGAGCAUGUGGUUUAAUUCGAAGCAACGCGAAGAACCUUACCAGGUCUUGACAUCCUCUGACAACCCUAGAGAUAGGGCUUUCCCUUCGGGGACAGAGUGACAGGUGGUGCAUGGUUGUCGUCAGCUCGUGUCGUGAGAUGUUGGGUUAAGUCCCGCCACGAGCGCAACCCUUGAUCUUAGUUGCCAGCAUUCAGUUGGGCACUCUAAGG